UGAACGCUGGCGGUAUGCUUAACACAUGCAAGUCGAACGGAAACGAUACUAGCUUGCUAGUAGGCGUCGAGUGGCGGACGGGUGAGUAACGCGUAGGAAUCUGCCUGAUAGUGGGGGAUAGCCCGAAGAAAUUCGGAUUAAUACCGCAUAAUCUAUUCGUAGUAAAGUGGGGGACUUUCGAGCCUCACGCUAUCAGAUGAGCCUGCGUAAGAUUAGCUUGUUGGUAGGGUAAAAGCCUACCAAGGCGACGAUCUUUAGCUGGUCUGAGAGGAUGAUCAGCCACAUCGGGACUGAGACACGGCCCGAACUCCUACGGGAGGCAGCAGUGGGGAAUAUUGGACAAUGGGGGCAACCCUGAUCCAGCAAUACCGCGUGUGUGAAGAAGGCCUGAGGGUUGUAAAGCACUUUCAAUUGUGAAGAAAAGUUAGCGGUUAAUAACCGUUAGCCUUGACGUUAACUUUAGAAGAAGCACCGGCUAACUCCGUGCCAGCAGCCGCGGUAAUACGGAGGGUGCAAGCGUUAAUCGGAAUUACUGGGCGUAAAGCGUGCGUAGGCGGUUUAUUAAGUCAGAUGUGAAAGCCCCGGGCUUAACCUGGGAACUGCAUUUGAAACUGGUCAACUAGAGUAUGGUAGAGGAAAGUGGAAUUUCUGGUGUAGCGGUGAAAUGCGUAGAUAUCAGAAGGAACAUCAAUGGCGAAGGCAGCUUUCUGGACCAAUACUGACGCUGAGGUACGAAAGCGUGGGUAGCAAACAGGAUUAGAUACCCUGGUAGUCCACGCCGUAAACGAUGAUAACUAGCCGUUGGGGGGAUUUACCCUUUAGUGGCGAAGCUAACGCGUUAAGUUAUCCGCCUGGGGAGUACGGCCGCAAGGUUAAAACUCAAAGGAAUUGACGGGGACCCGCACAAGCGGUGGAGCAUGUGGUUUAAUUCGAUGCAACGCGAAGAACCUUACCUGGUCUUGACAUCCUGCGAACUUUCUAGAAAUAGAUUGGUGCCUUCGGGAACGCAGUGACAGGUGCUGCAUGGCUGUCGUCAGCUCGUGUCGUGAGAUGUUGGGUUAAGUCCCGUAACGAGCGCAACCCCUAUCCUUAUUUGCCAGCACAUCAUGGUGGGAACUAUAAGGAGACUGCCGGUGAUAAACCGGAGGAAGGCGGGGACGACGUCAAGUCAUCAUGGCCCUUACGACCAGGGCUACACACGUGCUACAAUGGGAAGGACAAAGAGCCGCGAAGCCGCGAGGUGUAGCUAAUCUCAUAAACCUUUUCGUAGUCCGGAUUGGAGUCUGCAACUCGACUCCAUGAAGUCGGAAUCGCUAGUAAUCGUAGAUCAGAAUGCUACGGUGAAUACGUUCCCGGGUCUUGUACUCACCGCC
rnacentral:rRNA from 1 species